rnacentral:lncRNA from 1 species
AGGCUAAAGACUGUUGGGAGAGUCCAGGGCGGUCCGGCGACCAUUGCCCCUUUUCUUUUGGAUGUAGCUAUUUCCUUACAUAUAGAGGAAUCGAGGAGAUUCGUAUACGCCCAUAAGCUCGCAAGACCCACGGCGCCUUGCUACAAUAACGAGUGGCUAGUUCGUUCGAUAUCUAGGGGAUACCUGUCUACUUCGCUUCACCAAG